UAGGGAAUCUUCGGCAAUGGGGGCAACCCUGACCGAGCAACGCCGCGUGAGUGAAGAAGGUUUUCGGAUCGUAAAGCUCUGUUGUAAGUCAAGAACGAGUGUGAGAGUGGAAAGUUCACACUGUAACGGUAGCUUACCAGAAAGGGACGGCUAACUACGUGCCAGCAGCCGCGGUAAUACGUAGGUCCCGAGCGUUGUCCGGAUUUAUUGGGCGUAAAGCGAGCGCAGGCGGUUUGAUAAGUCUGAAGUUAAAGGCUGUGGCUCAACCAUAGUUCGCUUUGGAAACUGUCAAACUUGAGUGCAGAAGGGGAGAGUGGAAUUCCAUGUGUAGCGGUGAAAUGCGUAGAUAUAUGGAGGAACACCGGUGGCGAAAGCGGCUCUCUGGUCUGUAACUGACGCUGAGGCUCGAAAGCGUGGGGAGCGAACAGGAUUAGAUACCCUGGUAGUCCACGCCGUAAACGAUGAGUGCUAGGUGUUGGAUCCUUUCCGGGAUUCAGUGCCGCAGCUAACGCAUUAAGCACUCCGCCUGGGGAGUACGACCGCAAGGUUG
rnacentral:rRNA from 1 species